UACGGGGGGGGCAAGCGUUGUUCGGAAUUACUGGGCGUAAAGGGCUCGUAGGCGGCCAACUAAGUCAGACGUGAAAUCCCUCGGCUUAACCGGGGAACUGCGUCUGAUACUGGAUGGCUUGAGUUUGGGAGAGGGAUGCGGAAUUCCAGGUGUAGCGGUGAAAUGCGUAGAUAUCUGGAGGAACACCGGUGGCGAAGGCGGUUCUCUGGGCCUGUACUGACGCUGAGGAACGAAAGCGUGGGGAGCGAACAGG
rnacentral:rRNA from 1 species